rnacentral:misc_RNA from 1 species
UUUGUUCUUCUUUCUUAUGCACAACUGCACAAAACAGCAUGGCUCCCGCAAUUGUGCACUGUGUGACGUCGAGCUCAACAGAGCACCGGAGAAGCUUCUACAAAGAAGUAUUCGCCACAUAAACUGCAGAGGCUGCCUUGCAAGGAGUAGCUGCGAACCCAUUUCUGAUACAACUGUGUGCUCUGCCACGUCGAGCUCCAUGAAGCUUCCACAUCGAGGCAGACCGUUCAGCACAUAAACUGCAGAGGCUGCCUUGCAAGGAGUACCUGCGAACCAGCAAGGACGCUCCGUUUGAGUUCUGUAUGACGCCGAGCUGAACGGCUUCUCCACAGUAGCCUUCGCUACAUAAACUACAGAAUGUCCGUCACAGAUGUGUGCUGUGCCACGUCGAGCUCCACGGAGCUUCCAGAUCAAGAAAGACCGUUCACCACAUAAACUGCAGGGUGGGCCACUGCAAAAUGCACUGCCAUAGGGAACGAGGCAGUUCGUAUGUGGCAGCGACUAUGCAUCCUGCAGGGAGGCUGCGCAAAGCUCCCAUUGGCCUCAGCUUGUGGGAACAAGGAAGGCCACUCGGAGCUUCGUGCUGAGCCGCCCAAUCUAUGUCGCAGUUAGCUUUGACGGCGAAGCGCACUUGGCGGGGUGGCCUGCAUGUCUGAUACAGCCCCGUCCUGUGCCACGUCGAGCUCCACGGAGCUUCCACAUCGAGAGAGACCGUUCAACGCAUAAACUGCAGGUGUUCCAUGACCGUUCCGGCCCCCCUACCACCGGAGCUUCCCACCCUUGCCACCUGCACGUCGGCUGCCACCCCCGUUCCCGCCACUAUCUGGGCACCUUUCGCGCCCGCCGUUCCGUCCACGGCCGUCCUCCCUGACGUAUACGGGUUUGAAAAUGAGUGGCGGCGUACAGAACACGGAACUCGGAUGAAGACGGCGUGUGGCGCGAUCGCCGGGGUGGACUAUGCGCCUGGCGUUUUCUGUUCCUGCAUAUUGCAAAAAUAA